rnacentral:rRNA from 1 species
CCUACGGGCGGCUGCAGUGGGGAAUAUUGGACAAUGGGGGGAACCCUGAUCCAGCCAUGCCGCGUGUGUGAAGAAGGCCCUCGGGUUGUAAAGCACUUUCAGUGAGGAAGAACGCCUGGUGGUUAAUACCCAUCAGGAAAGACAUCACUCACAGAAGAAGCACCGGCUAACUCCGUGCCAGCAGCCGCGGUAAUACGGAGGGUGCGAGCGUUAAUCGGAAUUACUGGGCGUAAAGCGCGCGUAGGUGGCUUGAUAAGCCGGUUGUGAAAGCCCCGGGCUCAACCUGGGAACGGCAUCCGGAACUGUCAAGCUAGAGUGCAGGAGAGGAAGGUAGAAUUCCCGGUGUAGCGGUGAAAUGCGUAGAGGUCGGGAGGAAUACCAGUGGCGAAGGCGGCCUUCUGGACUGACACUGACACUGAGGUGCGAAAGCGUGGGUAGCAAACAGGAUUAGAUACCCUUGUAGUC